rnacentral:rRNA from 1 species
ACGAACGCUGGCGGCGUGCCUAAUACAUGCAAGUAGAACGCUGAAGAGAGGAGCUUGCUCUUCUUGGAUGAGUUGCGAACGGGUGAGUAACGCGUAGGUAACCUGCCUUGUAGCGGGGGAUAACUAUUGGAAACGAUAGCUAAUACCGCAUAACAAUGGAUGACACAUGUCAUUUAUUUGAAAGGGGCAAUUGCUCCACUACAAGAUGGACCUGCGUUGUAUUAGCUAGUAGGUGAGGUAACGGCUCACCUAGGCGACGAUACAUAGCCGACCUGAGAGGGUGAUCGGCCACACUGGGACUGAGACACGGCCCAGACUCCUACGGGAGGCAGCAGUAGGGAAUCUUCGGCAAUGGGGGCAACCCUGACCGAGCAACGCCGCGUGAGUGAAGAAGGUUUUCGGAUCGUAAAGCUCUGUUGUAAGUCAAGAACGAGUGUGAGAGUGGAAAGUUCACACUGUGACGGUAGCUUACCAGAAAGGGACGGCUAACUACGUGCCAGCAGCCGCGGUAAUACGUAGGUCCCGAGCGUUGUCCGGAUUUAUUGGGCGUAAAGCGAGCGCAGGCGGUUUGAUAAGUCUGAAGUUAAAGGCUGUGGCUCAACCAUAGUUCGCUUUGGAAACUGUCAAACUUGAGUGCAGAAGGGGAGAGUGGAAUUCCAUGUGUAGCGGUGAAAUGCGUAGAUAUAUGGAGGAACACCGGUGGCGAAAGCGGCUCUCUGGUCUGUAACUGACGCUGAGGCUCGAAAGCGUGGGGAGCGAACAGGAUUAGAUACCCUGGUAGUCCACGCCGUAAACGAUGAGUGCUAGGUGUUGGAUCCUUUCCGGGAUUCAGUGCCGCAGCUAACGCAUUAAGCACUCCGCCUGGGGAGUACGACCGCAAGGUUGAAACUCAAAGGAAUUGACGGGGGCCCGCACAAGCGGUGGAGCAUGUGGUUUAAUUCGAAGCAACGCGAAGAACCUUACCAGGUCUUGACAUCCCGAUGCUAUUUCUAGAGAUAGAAAGUUACUUCGGUACAUCGGUGACAGGUGGUGCAUGGUUGUCGUCAGCUCGUGUCGUGAGAUGUUGGGUUAAGUCCCGCAACGAGCGCAACCCUUACUGUCAGUUACUACGCAAGAGGACUCUGGCAGGACUGCCGUUGACAAAACGGAGGAAGGUGGGGAUGACGUCAAAUCAUCAUGCCCCUUAUGACCUGGGCUACACACGUGCUACAAUGGUUGGUACAACGAGUUGCGAGUCGGUGACGGCAAGCUAAUCUCUUAAAGCCAAUCUCAGUUCGGAUUGUAGGCUGCAACUCGCCUACAUGAAGUCGGAAUCGCUAGUAAUCGCGGAUCAGCAUGCCGCGGUGAAUACGUUCCCGGGCCUUGUACACACCGCCCGUCACACCACGAGAGUUUGUAACACCCGAAGUCGGUGAGGUAACCUUUUGGAGCCAGCCGCCUAAGGUGGGAUAGAUGAUUGGGGUG